rnacentral:rRNA from 1 species
UACAGAGGUCUCAAGCGUUUGUUCGGAUUCAUUGGGCGUAAAGGGUGCGUAGGUGGCGUGGUAAGUCGGAUGUGAAAUCCCGGGGCUCAACCCCGGAACUGCAUUCGAUACUGCCAUGCUAGAGUACUGGAGAGGAGAUUGGAAUUUACGGUGUAGCAGUGAAAUGCGUAGAUACCGUAAGGAAGACCAGUGGCGAAGGCGGAUCUCUGGACAGUUACUGACACUGAGGCACGAAGGCCAGGGGAGCAAACGGG